GACGAACGCUGGCGGCGUGCUUAACACAUGCAAGUCGAGCGGAAAGGCCCUUCGGGGUACUCGAGCGGCGAACGGGUGAGUAACACGUGAGCAACCUGCCCUAGGCUUUGGGAUAACCCCGGGAAACCGGGGCUAAUACCGAAUAGGACCUGGCCUCGCAUGAGGCCGGGUGGAAAGUUUUUCGGCCUGGGAUGGGCUCGCGGCCUAUCAGCUUGUUGGUGGGGUGAUGGCCUACCAAGGCGACGACGGGUAGCCGGCCGGGGAGGGCGAGCGGCCACAAUGGGACUGAGACACGGCCCAGACUCCUACGGGAGGCAGCAGUGGGGAAUAUUGCACAAUGGGCGGAAGCCUGAUGCAGCGACGCCGCGUGGGGGAUGACGGCCUUCGGGUUGUAAACCUCUUUCAGCAGGGACGAAGCAUAAGUGACGGUACCUGCAGAAGAAGCGCCGGCCAACUACGUGCCAGCAGCCGCCGUAAAAC
rnacentral:rRNA from 1 species